rnacentral:misc_RNA from 1 species
AUAUAUAUAUCAACCUUCUCUUGUUGAGUGGUUUGGAUGUGGGGGUUUGCUGAGCUCUUAAAGGGUUCAGCUCUCCUGAAAUGCAUUAGCAGGACGACCCUUGUUCAUUGGUGUGAUAACUAUCUACGCUAUUGAAUGUAAGGGGCAGUUCAGCUUUCUAACAGUCCUCGGACAAUUCAUCAUUA